AUUUCCAGCUGACUCUGGGUAUUUGUAGCCAGCACCUUCCAAUUGUCUGCUCCCUUUUCCAUUUGGUUUAGCUUUUCCUGUAAAGAUGCCUUUUCCUCUUUACAUGAAGACAAGCGGAGAUGGCAGAUAAGCUGGAAGGAGCUUCACAUUUUAAGGACAAACCAGAAGGAUGCUACAGACAAAGAUGAGGCAUAUGGAUGCUAUGAGAAGCAGGUUACUGUGUUUUGGAUCUCAAUGGAAGAAAUGUGUCUGAGGCUGAAACCUGGACAAAAUGGAGAUAACUGUGGAUGAAGGGGUCCAUGCAGAGGGACAGAGGAAGAUUAUGCCUGCAUAUUUCACUGGGCAUGUAAUUCUGCCUUUUUUCCCAAAAGUUGGAGCCCAUCCUUCCUAUAUAGGCUCCAUUAUUGGUGGAAGCACAGCAUGGAUGAGCAUGCAUGCAGGAAUCUUACUGACUCUGGGUAGGAUUCAUGGUGAGCAGUGGAGAACUAAUUCCUAAGGUCUAUUGACUGUGUUAAGGGCCUGUUUGAUAUAUUUAAAUUAUUUCUGCAGUUUGUUCUGUUUUAAUUUCUACAACCGCUCUUGAAUGGAACAAUUUUUGGUGCCAAAUGACAUAUUAUCAUCAUGAAAGAUGCUGUGAUUUCUCAGGAUGUUUGGUUUAUAAAAGGUUGUAAAGAACAAGAAACAAAACCAGUUAAUGUUGUUCAAACAAAUUGAUGGGUCAGAGCCUCAGAUGUUGAAAAUUGGCAUUGUUCUAUUGACUUCAGUGCUAAAUAUUUUUGAGGCCUUAUUUACAGUGAGGAUUUGCCCCAAUUUCAGCUAUUGGUGAACAGCUGUGACAGAGUAGCUGCUCUGAUGUAAACCCUUAGCAUAGAUAGGGUGUAUUAUGGUAAACUCCAAUCUGUAUUCAAUCAAUUUAUCCUUGUUUCAAGCCGGGGUAAGGUGCACUGGCAGAAGUAGCAGAUUUCCCUUCUCGAUACUAAGGCUACACAAAUAGUUGGACUCUGAUGGUUGAAAUCAGGGCAAACUCCCAGUGUGGACAAAGCCUAAGGCUAUUCUGCAUACUUAGCUCCUCUAAAGGCAGAGUUUGGUGACUACUGCUACUAGCUUCAUCUAAUUCACAAGGAGUCUUGUGAUGGACAGUCAUAAGCAACUAAUCUUUAAAUGCAAGAAUAGUACUGUAGAUAUAUUGUUGUCUUAUUGCAGAACAGCAUUCCAAGCCUCUAGAUGUGCUAUGGCUGCCUCUUCAUUACAAAUAAUCCCAAAUUACAAUGUUUCAGUAACUGCAAAGAUCCUUUUUUGAGUUUGUUUCCAUCUGGCAAAACUCUAUCCCCAUCUGACAUUAACGUUUGAACAAUAGUUUGAAAUACCGGAACCAAUGAACAGAUUUGGAGAUGUAAAAUACUUUAAUAGUCCUAGUUCAAGUAUAUAGAGCAAGCUUCUGUAAAGAGGUUUUUUCAUGUUAAUUCAUUUAUUUAUAAGAUAACUGAAGCCAUAGGUGUUCUGCUUUAAUGAGGCAUUAGUUAACAAUUAUAUAAAACACUAAAAAUAAGAUGUUGCUGAGGCAAAACAUGGAGAAGAUGCACACAGAGUGAAAGAAUAUUUAACUACAAAACUAUACACAUUUAAAACAAAAAAGGGGAGUUUUAAAAUAAAAAUGCAAUUGACAAAUAAUAGGCAUUACACAUUUAAAAAGAUCAUGUUAAGAGAGACAAAACUAUGUAUUCUAGUAUAUGAAAUGAGUAACAAACCAGGAGUACUCAUAUGAAAGGUGGCACUAGGGCUCAUGCUGCUGGCUGUACUGAUAAACAAGAACAUUUUUGGUUUUGAUUAAAAUGUGUUUUAAAGUAGUGUGGAAUGAGCCUUCCCCCUACUUGUAAUUUUGCAUUCCCUGUGAUUUAUGAAAUCUCAUUUUAAUUGCAAACCAGUGGUUCUUCUCAUGUAUGUACUUGAGCACUGUAUAAUUCUACAGACAGCUAAACUAGCACAGUUGCUAAAAGGAACAGAAGUGUUCAGAAAACAAGAUGUAUUAAACCUGAAGAAUUGGUGACAUGCAAAAAAGCAUUCCAGCUCUCAUGUUACGAUCGGUCACUCACUUGUUGGAAUGAAGUUUCCAAUAAAAAAAAAUACUAACACACCCUAACUAACCUUGGAAGCAAUAUUCUGUUUUAUGAACUUUAGAUCUAAAGGGUAGAUGUUCUCACACUUCCUCAUAAGAUGUUGUC